UCCAUUUCCAUGUUCAGAGCCCUGUGGGACGGAGGAGGCAGAUUUAAGGUAGCACGUGCUCAUGUGUUUUCCAGAUGCCAGCCUCUCAACGGCACCCCUGUCGGGGCAGACCUGCGGGAGAACCAUUUUCUCUGAAUUUCAGCUAGAUGGGUGCUGUGGAGAUCCUGAGACUGGAGAAGAGGAGACUCGAAUUCACAGACAUUAAGCUUGUGAAUGGAAGAAGGAAACAAGGGAUGGUGACCACACUGGGAUGAUCCCACAUGUAUCCUGUGUGACACAGCUGUCAUUAAAGCAGAUCCUGGAGGCAGGAGUUCUAAACUUGUUGAUCUACAGGCCAGAUCAAGUGGCGCUCAGUGUGGGAGCCCCUGGCACGGAGAAGUUAACGAGGGAGCCGUUCGAGAGACAGCCGGCUUAAACCAAAAGUAAAAGCAAAUUAAACCAGAGACCUCGGCCGAGGAAUGAGUAAACUAAAUCAAGGAUUAAAGUUUAAAGCAACAGGACAUUAAAUCAAGUGCCGAGACCUGCGCAGACGACUACCCGACGUCCUGCCCGAGUCACGGUGAGUGAACGGCAACCCCAUUUCCCUUUCCCGACAUGGGUCAAGUAUUGAGCGAACAUGAACUGUUCGUCGGAGGCCUUAUAAAGGCAUUAAAGACAAGAGAGAUAAGGGUUGAAAAACAAGAAUUAUUACAGUAUUUUCAGUUUAUUCAUAAGGUUUGCCCUUGGUUCCCCCUAGAGGGUUCUAUAGAUACCAAGAGGUGGAAUACAGUAAGAGAUGUUUUAAAAGAUUAUUAUAGAGUUUUCGGUCCAAAAAAGGUUCCUGUGACCACCUUUACAUAUUGGAAUUUAAUUUCUGAGCUACUUGCCCAGAGGCAUGCAGACCCUCAGGUUGAGGAGACAGUUGCACUGGGUGAGGCUGCCUUGCGCGACUCCCUUAAAUCUACCUCAAAACCGUCCUCAAAAAAAUCUGAAGCCUCUGAUUUCUCAGAUGCAGAAAAUGAUGGCCUGUUAGAGGUCCUUAUACAUGGUGAUCUGCCACCACUUCCACCUGUUGACAUGAUCAGCAGGUCCCAAGAUGGCAGCCCGCUACUCCCUGUGCCUCCAUGGCAAAUUGGGGAUUCAUAUAAGCCUUUAGAAACAACCUUAACUCUGAAAAGCUUACAGCCACAAGGCAGCUGGUGCAGGACCAGUUAGAUACAGGACACAUUGUUCCUAAUAAUUCCCCUUGGAACACACCUAUCUUUGUUAUCCAAAAAAGGUCAGAAAAGUAGAGGCUGCUACAAGACCUUAGGGCGAUAAAUAAGACAAUGGUCUUAAUGGGGCCCCUACAACCAGGCCUCCCCUCAGUCAGUGCCAUUCCUUUAGGAUUUUUUAAAAUUGUCAUAGAUCUUAAAGAUUGCUUUUUCUCUAUUCCUUUACAUCCAAAGGACCAAAAGCGUUUUGCCUUCAGUCUCCCAUCAAUUAAUUUUAAAGCCCCUAUACAGAGAUUUCAAUAGAGGGUUUUGCCACAAGAUAUGGCCAACUCCCCAACACUAUGCCAGUCUUUUAUAGCCACUACAAUACAGUCAGUCAGAGAUCAUUGGCCACAUAUCUAUAUUAUUCAUUACAUGGACGAUAUCCUCUUGGCAAGAGAUGAUCAAAACCAAACCCUAAGGUGCUACCAAGACUUACAGGUUGCCUUACAAGAGGCUGGACUUCAAAUAGCCCCUGAUAAAGUACAGCUUACUGAUCCAUAUACUUACUUGGGUUUUCAAUUAUGUGGCACUCAAAUACUCUCUGUAAGGCCCCAACUGAGGCUUGAUGGCCUCAGAACACUUCAUGACUUCCAAAAACUAUUGGGAGAUAUUAAUUGGCUCAUACCAUUUUUAAAACUAACUAAACAUGAUUUACAGCCCCUUUAUGCACUGCUUCGGGGAGACAUAGAUCCAACUUCCCCCCGAGAGCUUACACCUGAUGCCAGGAGAGCGCUCAGUAAAGUAAAAGAGGCUAUUGCUCAACAAACUGUUUCCUUUAUGGACUACAAUGAGCCUUUACAGUUUCUCAUUUUUAAUACAAAGCUUUGCCCUACAACAGUGUUCUGACAACAAGCUCCCCUCAUGUGGGUCCAUUUACCAGUCUCUCCAAAAAAAAACACUUUUGCCUUAUUUCCAAGCUGUCUCAAACCUAAUAAUCCAGGGUAAAAAACAGGAAAAAUGUUACUUUGGCAAAAAACCAGAUAUUAUCAUUCAACCUUUUACAAAAGACCAAAUAGAUUGGCUACUUCAGAGUAUGAAAGUGUGGCCUAUUGCCUUAGCUUCCUACUCAGGGACUAUUGACAAUCAUUACCCUCCAAAUAAGCUAGUUGACUUUGCUAAUCGUCACUCAUUUAUAUUCCCUAAAGUCACAGCUUCACAACCCCUUCCGGGUGCCCUGGUUUUAUUCACUGAUGGCUCAUCCUCUAAAAGAGCUGCUUAUGUAUCUCAAGACAAUGUUUCUACCCUCCAGGCAGAUACUUCCUCUGCACAAUUAGCAGAGUUAGAAGCUAUUCUUGCAGCUUUUGCUGCUUACUCUGACCAACCAUUUAAUUUGUAUACUGACAGUGCUUACCUUGCUCAGUCUGUUCCAUUAUUAGAGACUGUUGCUAUUAUAUGUCAUGCUUCCCCAGCUGCAAAUCUGUUCAAACAAUUACAAUGCUUCAUACGGCUUCGCCGUCAUAAGUUCUUUAUCGGUCAUCUGCGAGCUCAUUCCAACCUCCCAGGGCCUCUUGCCCAAGGAAAUCAUUUGGCUGAUGUUGCUAUAUGAGCACAGGUUUUUAUGGCUCAAGACUCCAAGGUGUCUGAGGCCCAACAAGCCCACCAGCUACAUCACCUCAAUGCUCACACCCUCCGCCUUCUCUACAAAA